GUCUCCCUCUGAUGCCGAGCCGAAGCUGGACUGUACUGCCGCCAUCUCAACUCACUGCAAUCUCCCUGCCUGAUUCUCCUGCCUCAGCCUGCCGAGUGCCUGCGAUUGCAGGCGCGCGCCACCACACCUGACUGGUUUUCGUAUUUUUUUGGUGGAGACGGGGUUUCGCUGUGUUGGCCGGGCUGGUCUCCAGCUCCUAACCGGAGUGAUCCACCAGCCUCGGCCUCCCGAGGUGCCAGGAUUGCAGACAGAGUCUCGCUCACUCAGUGCUCAAUGGUGCCCAGGCUGGAGUGCAGUGGCGUGAUCUCGGCUAGCUACAACCUCUACCUCCCAGCCGCCUGCCUUGGCCUCCCAAAGUGCCGAGAUUGCAGCCUCUGCCCGGCCGCCACCCCGUCUGGGAUAUGAGGAGCGUCUCUGCCCAGCCGCCAUCCCAUCUAGGAAGUGAGGAGCGCCUCUUUCCGGCCACCAUCCCAUCUAGGAAGUGAGGAGCGUCUCUGCUCAGCCGCCCAUCGUCUGAGAUGUGGGGAGCGCCUCUGCCCCGCCGCCCCGUCUGGGAUGUGAGGAGCGCCUCUGCCCGGCCGCGACCCCGUCUGGGAGGUGAGGAGCGUCUCUGCCCGGCCGCGACCCCGUCUGGGAGGUGAGGAGCGUCUCUGCCCGGCCGCCCCAUCUGAGAAGUGAGGAGACCCUCUGCCUGGCAACCGCCCCGUCUGAGAAGUGAGGAGCCCCUCCGCCCGGCAGCCGCCCCGUCUGAGAAGUGAGGAGCCCCUCCGCCUGGCAGCCACCCCGUCUGGGAAGUGAGGAGCGUCUCCGCCCAGCAGCCACCCCGUCCGGGAGGGAGGUGGGGGGUCAGCCCCCGCCCGGCCAGCCACCCCGUCCGGGAGGGAGGUGGGGGGGUCAGCCCCCCGCCCGGCCAGCCGCCCCGUCCGGGAGGGAGGUGGGGGGGUCAGCCCCCCGCCCGGCCAGCCGCCCCGUCCGGGAGGUGAGGGGCGCCUCUGCCCGGCCGCCCCUACUGGGAAGUGAGGAGCCCCUCUGCCCGGCCACCACCCCGUCUGGGAGGUGUGCCCAACAGCUCAUUGAGAACGGGCCAGGAUGACAAUGGCGGCUUUGUGGAAUAGAAAGGGGGGAAAGGUGGGGAAGAGAUUGAGAAAUCGGAUGGUUGCCGUGUCUGUGUAGAAAGAAGUAGACAUGGGAGACUUUUCAUUUUGUUCUGUACUAAGAAAAAUUCUUCUGCCUUGGGAUCCUGUUGAUCUGUGACCUUACCCCCAACCCUGUGCUCUCUGAAACAAGUGCUGUGUCCACUCAGGGUUAAAUGGAUUAAGGGCGGUGCAAGAUGUGCUUUGUUAAACAGAUGCUUGAAGGCAGCGUGCUCGUUAAGAGUCAUCACCACUCCCUAAUCUCAAGUACCCAGGGACACAAACACUGCGGAAGGCCUCAGGGUCCUCUGCCUAGGAAAACCAGAGACCUUUGUUCACUUGUUUAUCUGCUGACCUUCCCUCCACUAUUGUCCUAUGACCCUGCCAAAUCCCCCUCUGCGAGAAACACCCAAGAAUGAUCAAUAAAAAAAAAUAAAAAUAAAAAAAAAGAACUGAAUAAACAUACCACAUUUAAAUUAAAAAAAAAAAAAAAAAGAAAACAGCCAAUGCCAAAGAGAAAGAUAGAACGAAAAUGCCCUAUUCCAUGGAACAAUUAAAAAAAAAUUAACAACUACUUAUUCCAGUCACUAAAAGUGGAUGACCA
rnacentral:lncRNA from 1 species